GAGGUCUGCUCAGGGCCAGGGGCCUGAAGAAUGCCUCCUCUGUCUGCAACACACUCCGUAGGAACCUAGGGGCACGGUGAGGAGGGGCACAAAAGGUGUGACUUUUCUAUGAAUAAAUCCCUACCUCC
ensembl:snoRNA